UACGGGGGGAGCAAGCGUUGUUCGGAUUUACUGGGCGUAAAGGGCGCGUAGGCGGUCAGCACAAGUCAGUUGUGAAAUCUCCGGGCUUAACUCGGAAAGGUCAACUGAUACUGUGCGACUAGAGUGCGGAAGGGGCAACUGGAAUUCUUGGUGUAGCGGUGAAAUGCGUAGAUAUCAGGAGGAACACCAAUGGCGAAGGCAGCACUCUGGGACGGUACUGACGCUGAGACGCGAAAGCGUGGGGAGCAAACAGG
rnacentral:rRNA from 1 species